CCAUUUUCUUUUUUUUUGUUUUUGGUUUUUCGAGACAGGGUUUCUCACCCUGGCUGUCCUGGAACGCACUCUGUAGACCAGGCUGGCCUCGAACUCAGAAAUCCACCUGCCUCUGCCUCCCGAGUGCUGGGAUUAAAGGAAGAUGUGAGAGAAUUUCUGUGUGAUCACCAAGAUUCCAUACAGAGGCCCUCUCUCAAAAAACAAAACAAACUAAAAAAGAAUGUGGCUCAGCAGGAAAAGGGGCUUGCUGACUAGCCUCAAGACCAGAAUUCGAUCUCUAAGACCCUAGCUUUUCCAAGUUGUCUUCUGACCUCCACAAGCAUGUUGCCCACUAAUUUAAAAACUUUUUUAAAGCAAAAAUAUUUCAUACUCAAAUUUUACCACUUGGCAGACUGAAACAAAAAAAAAAUUACUACAUGCUCAAGUCUAGCCUGGGCAAAAAGAGCAAAACUGCAGGGAAAAAGACUGAGAAACAGAGACAGAUAAAGAUCAAGAGAGACAGAAAGCAACUAUUUUUUAAAGGAUAAAGAAUAGAUUCUUCAGAGAAUUGCCAUCUUCAGCAACAAAUGACAAACAAAAAGGCAUAAGCAGAACUUUCCUUAUUACAGAGGAAAUGAAUAACUACUAUAAAGCUGCAGGUGAGUUCAUUAAUAGAUAAAAGUCUGAGGUCAUAAGUGCCAGGAAAGGACUAAACU
rnacentral:lncRNA from 1 species